UAUUUUAGGUGUGCCCUGCCCGGUGAUGAUAUUUAACGGCCGCAGUACUCUGACUGUGCUAAGGUAGCAUAAUAAUUUGUCAUUUAAUUAAUGACUGGAAUAAACGGGUAAAUAAAUGAUGUCUGUCUUUUUAAUGCUAUAUUAAAAUUACAUUAAAGGUGAAAAUUCCUUUAUUAAUAUUAUUAGACGAGAAGACCCUUAGAGUUUAUUAUUUUUUUUGUUGGGGCGACAUGAAAGUAGAAAACCUUUCUAUAUACUAUUUUAUAAAUCAUAUUAUAUACUAAACAAACUACCUAAGGGAUAACAGCAUAAUUUUAUAUAAAGAUUAUGACCUCGAUGUUGGAUUAAGGACUCUAUUAGCUAACAGCUUAAUGAGAUUGUUCUGUUCGAACA
rnacentral:rRNA from 1 species